rnacentral:lncRNA from 7 species
UUCCUACUAUAUUCUAAGAGUACGUGAACUUUCCUUUUUUAAAAAAAAAAGGUACGGAGGGGGUUUCUUUCCCUUUUGCACGGCCUAGUCCAUAAAAGGGCCCAAUUACGUACGCACGAGAGGACCCUAUUAGGGUUUUCUGGUGUUGGCCGCCGCUCCAAAUUCUCCUCCCCUUUAUUUUUUUAUUUCUUCUUCGCUCCAAUCUCUUCUUUCUUCUGUUUGCGAAUCGGAGCAGCGGCUCUUCUGCUACGCACGCAGCUCACGCGCUCGUGGCUGGGAGCGGCGGUCACGCCUGUUCGCCCGCCUGGCCAUGGCAGCGUUACGGCGACGACACCCGAUCGCCUGCCUGGCCACCACCGUGGUGGUGGCGCAGCGGUGGCGCCCGCUCUCGCAUAGUGCAGGCGCGACCUUCCUGCCGUGGUGCCCGCCUAUGCCACAUUCAUCUUCCCUUUACUUAUACGCACGCGUUCUUGGCC